AUUGAACGCUGGCGGCAUGCUUUACACAUGCAAGUCGAACGGUAACAGGCCGCAAGGUGCUGACGAGUGGCGAACGGGUGAGUAAUGCAUCGGAACGUGCCCAGUCGUGGGGGAUAACGCAGCGAAAGCUGUGCUAAUGCCGCAUACGAUCUAUGGAUGAAAGCGGGGGACCGUAAGGCCUCGCGCGAUUGGAGCGGCCGAUGUCAGAUUAGGUAGUUGGUGGGGUAAAGGCCUACCAAGCCGACGAUCUGUAGCUGGUCUGAGAGGACGACCAGCCACACUGGGACUGAGACACGGCCCAGACUCCUACGGGAGGCAGCAGUGGGGAAUUUUGGACAAUGGGCGCAAGCCUGAUCCAGCAAUGCCGCGUGCAGGAAGAAGGCCUUCGGGUUGUAAACUGCUUUUGUACGGAACGAAACGGUCUGGGUUAAUACCCUGGGCUAAUGACGGUACCGUAAGAAUAAGCACCGGCUAACUACGUGCCAGCCGCCGCAGUAAAAC
rnacentral:rRNA from 1 species